UACGGAGGGGACUAGCGUUGUUCGGAAUUACUGGGCGUAAAGCGCGCGUAGGCGGAUUUGCAAGUCGGGGGUGAAAGCCCGAGGCUCAACCUCGGAACUGCCCUCGAUACUGCAAAUCUCGAGUCCGAGAGAGGUGAGUGGAAUUCCUAGUGUAGAGGUGAAAUUCGUAGAUAUUCGCAAGAACACCAGUGGCGAAGGCGGCUCACUGGCCCGGUACUGACGGCUGAGGUGCGAAAGCGUGGGGAGCAAACAGG
rnacentral:rRNA from 1 species